GUGAAAGAUGCCGCUACGUGAGGACAUUUUAUUUUAUCACCCUUAACGUGGCCCAUUAUUGUCUAUGAACAUUCUGAAUUAGGUCCCCUGCGGCUCUCCUGAAUUUUCCAUGGCCUGCCUUAUGCGGUGCACGUCGCGUUUGAUGGCCAGGCUUUCCGAGGCGAGAUCAGACAUCACGUAAACCCCCCCCUCCCAUCCCACCUUGUCCGGUGGCCACCCCAUUCACCGGUGGAACGGUCCACUUUGGCAAGGCUCUCGAAGGCUAAGUGAAGCAGCAAACUGCUGGGCCCGAGCAGAGGACCUUACGGUCUAAAAGGCAUCUUCUUCACAGCGACGUUCUCCGCUUCUCUCAUGCCUGCGGUAUCCCGGAAGAAA